rnacentral:rRNA from 1 species
AUUGAACGCUGGCGGCAUGCUUUACACAUGCAAGUCGAACGGUAACAGGUUAAGCUGACGAGUGGCGAACGGGUGAGUAAUGCAUCGGAACGUGCCCGAUCGUGGGGGAUAACGCAGCGAAAGCUGCGCUAAUACCGCAUACGAUCUGAGGAUGAAAGCGGGGGACCGUAAGGCCUCGCGCGAUCGGAGCGGCCGAUGUCAGAUUAGGUAGUUGGUGGGGUAAAGGCUCACCAAGCCGACGAUCUGUAGCUGGUCUGAGAGGACGACCAGCCACACUGGGACUGAGACACGGCCCAGAGUCCUACGGGAGGCAGCAGUGGGGAAUUUUGGACAAUGGGCGAAAGCCUGAUCCAGCAAUACCGCGUGCAGGAAGAAGGCCUUCGGGUUGUAAACUGCUUUUGUACGGAGCGAAAAGGCUCUCUCUAAUACAGGGGGCUCAUGACGGUACCGUAAGAAUAAGCACCGGCUAACUACGUGCCAGCCGCCGCAGUAA